rnacentral:rRNA from 1 species
GGGCGUUCUUAUCUCAAUGCGAGUGGAGGCGCCCCUAGAGCGUACACGCUGAUACCCGAAAGAUGGUGAACUAUGCCCGGCCAGGACGAUGCCAGGGGAAACCCCGGUGGAGGUCCGCAGCGAUUCUGACGUGCAAAUCGAUCGUCGGAGCUGGGUAUAGGGGCGAAAGACCAAUCGAACCAUCUAGUAGCUGGUUCCCUCCGAAGUUUCCCUCAGGAUAGCUUGCGCUCAUGUGAAAGAGUCUCAUCCGGUAGAGCGAAUGAUUAGAGGCCUUGGGGUCGAAACGACCUCAACCUAUUCUCAAACUCCAAAUAGAUGAGAACUCCGGCUUUCUUGAAACUAUUGUUUUGAAGCCGGGGGCUCGGAUCAGAGUGCCAAGUGGGCCAAUUUU